GUCGGGAUAGCUCAGUUGGUAGAGCAGAGGACUGAAAAUCCUCGUGUCACCAAGUUCAAAUACA
rnacentral:tRNA from 1 species